rfam:Camelus ferus unplaced genomic scaffold scaffold1525, whole genome shotgun sequence.
GGAGGAUACAGCUCAGUGGUAGAGUGCGUGCCUCAUAUGCAUGAGGUCUAGGGUUCAAUCCCUAGUGCCUCCA